rnacentral:lncRNA from 1 species
CACAGUUACAGGUUAAAAGAAAGAGUUGCCCUCCCAGAGACAAGUUAGACUACCCUCUAAAGAGUGCUGUCAAACCAAUACUGUGCCAGGCCACAGGAGAGACAUCCUGAUGAAUGCUGGAACUUGGCUAUUGCUAUCAUGGUUUAUAAGCAUAACAGAUAGCCUAGACACUAUGGAUGGAAGCUUGGAAUAUCAUCGGAUAGAGUGGCACCAUCAGAGGAAUUCCUGGUAUUACCAAAUGAAGUAGGCAUGGGAACAGUUUUUGUGACAAAUAUUUUGGAUGUCUUCACUCUACCCCUCACCCACUGUAGGGAAGUGAAGGCAUGAGAAUUUGAACAGAAGAGACACCCUACUACCUGUACUUCCUACACAAGACCCAGUGACCACAGGCUCCCAACAAAUGAGCCAGGCCUCUGCUUAUUCUUCAACACGCAUAUCACAUCACCCUAGCAAGAAAUGGAUUUCCUCUGCAUUAUUGUUUAUCUGGAGAGAAUAACAGUUCACAAAGUCCAAUCAGAUCAAAGCAACUUCAUGAUCGAAUUAAGCCUCACAUGGAUUCAAAAACACUUCUAUUGAGUACCUGUGACAUUGCAUAAAAUGACUACAGCUUCAAGCACAAUGUCAAUGAAAUAAAAGUUAUACCUUGUGAAAUAGAUUGUAAUCUAGGUACAGAUAUUCAUCUUUCUUUUAUGUUCAAUGGCCUUUGUGCAUCUGUGUGUGUGUUCAGUUAAUACAUAUUUAUAAAUGAUGAAAAGGGAAACAAGUCAUCAUUAUUUUUAUCAACUUUUGUUAAAAAUACAUAUCGGUUAACGUUGCCAGGUAACAUACAA